GCAUCGAUGAAGAACGCAGCGUAACUGCGUAUACGUAAUGCGUAAUUGCAGGAUUCAGUGAGUCAUCGAAAUUNGGAACGCAUAUUGCACUUCCGGGUUAGUCCUGGGAGUAUGCCUGUAUCAGUGUCCGNACACUAAACUUGGCUCCCUUCCUNCCGUGUAGUCGGUGGAUGGGGACGCGCAGAUGUGAAGUGUCUUGCGGCUGGUCUUCGNCCCNGCUGCGAGUCCUNUGNAAAUGUACUACACUGUACUUCUCUNUGCCUCGAAAAGCGUGACGUUGCUGGUUGUGGAGCCUCCCUGUGUGGCAUGUCGGCGACCGGUUUGUCUGCUGCGGCGUUUAAUGGAGGAGUGUUCGAUUCCGCGGUAUGGUUGGCUUCGGCUGAACAGACGCUUAUUGGGUGCUUUUCCUCCUGUGNCUGGAUGGACUGGUGAACCGUANCUGUGCUAGGCUUGGCGUUUGAACCGGCGGUGUGGUGCGAAGUAGGGUGUCUGUUCCGGCGUAANCUGGGGUGGACGAGGGUCGAUCCAUUUGGGAAACGUUGUGUGCGCUUCGGCGCGCAUCUCAAUUGGACCUGAUAUCAGGCAAGAUUACCCGCUGAACUUAAGCAUAUCAAUAAGCGGAGGA
rnacentral:rRNA from 1 species